UACGUAGGUGGCAAGCGUUGUCCGGAUUUAUUGGGUUUAAAGGGUGCGUAGGCGGCUUCGUAAGUCAGUGGUGAAAUAUGGCAGCUCAACUGUCAAGGUGCCAUUGAUACUGCAGAGCUUGAGUACAGAUGAGGUAGGCGGAAUUGACGGUGUAGCGGUGAAAUGCGUAGAUAUCCGGAGGAACACCGGUGGCGAAGGCGGCUUCCUGGACCGACACUGACGCUGAGGCGCGAAAGCGUGGGGAGCGAACAGG
rnacentral:rRNA from 1 species